UAAGAAGAAACUUGGACUUGUCCAGAGAGGGCUGUUUCUCCCCAAGGUGGGCUCAGGACCCUUUGCUUGAGGGAAGGUCCAGUGUCACUAUCUGUCACCCAUGGGACUUUAGACAGGCAUCUCAGAAACUCGGUCAGGCAGCAGCUGGAGUGUCUGCGAUGGUUUCCCCGCCCCUCAGGAAAGACCCUGCCUCUCUGCAGAUGGCCUCUCAGACCUGCCUUCACAGGAGGGCGGCCUAUGUUAGAGCAGAAAACCUGUGCUUGGGGAACUGAACUUUGAGAAAUGCAAAGCGCCUUGGUGUUCCGGGAUGAGCACAUUGGAGCUUAGGUCCCUCCAUUCCUGGUAGUAGAGAAAGCAGCGGAUGGUUCAGCCUGGAGGCAGAGAAAGAGCCCAACAAUUACAAGGAAGCUCAAGAUUCAUCUUGGAGGAUAAGCAGCAGCAAGAGCCUAUGGAGGCAGGGAAGAAGCCUCUGUCAAGAGGUGCUGUUCACUUUUGUAGAUCUCUAAUAAAAAUGAAGUUUUCAAUCUCUAUCAAAAUACCAGUGACAUUCUUCACAGAAAUAGAAAAAACAAUUCUAAAAUUUAUAUGGAACCCCAAAAGACCCAGAAUAGCUAAAGCUAUCCUAAGCAGAAGGAACAAAACUGGAGGAACGACAUUAACUGACUUCAAAUUACACUACAGAGCUAUAGUAACCAAAACAGCAUGGUACUGGCAUAAAAACAGACACAUAGAUCAAUGAAACAGAAUAGAGAAC
rnacentral:lncRNA from 1 species